rnacentral:lncRNA from 1 species
CAGUUGUUUGGAAGUAGUGUUAUGCCUCGUUUGCACAUAUAUACAAAGGGUUUGAAUUUUGUAUAAAGUUCAAUUUUAACGAGAUAUGACAAUGAUGUUUUGUGAAAUAAGUUUUUCAAACCCUUGUGCUUAAUAAUAAUUGAGGCCUUUGAUACUUCUAUUUUUAAUGUGAUCAGCUUGAUUGCUUUUAUUAUUUUCGAGAUGCGAAGCAUCUUCGAGAAAAUAAGAUACAUAGCAGUUCCAAACUCCUUGUGGGCAUGAAAGUCAUCUAAGGAAAUUCAGA